UGCGGCGUCUAAUACAUGCAAGUCGAACGAGAGCGACCGGUGCUUGCACUGGUCAAUCUAGUGGCGAACGGGUGAGUAACACGUGGGUACCUGCCCAUCAGAGGGGGAUACAUUCGGAAACGGAUGCUAAACCGCAUAGGUCUUCGACCGCAUGGUUUGAAGAGGAAAAGAGGCGCAAGCUUCUGCUGAAUGGAUGGACCCGCGGUGCAUUAGCUAGUUGGUGAGGUAACGGCUCACCAAGGCCGUGAUGCAUAGCCGACCUGAGAGGGUGAUCGGCCACAUUGGGACUGAGACACGGCCCAAACUCCUACGGGAGGCAGCAGUAGGGAAUCUUCCGCAAUGGACGCAAGUCUGACGGAGCAACGCCGCGUGAGUGAAGAAGGUUUUCGGAUCGUAAAACUCUGUUGUUAGAGAAGAACAAGUGCUAGAGUAACUGUUAGCGCCUUGACGGUAUCUAACCAGAAAGCCG
rnacentral:rRNA from 1 species